AGAAAAUGUUUUGGCCUCAUUUGAGACGCAUGUUCUGAAACUGAUAAAAGUCAUCUUGUUCAUCAAAACUUGAAGCUAUCAUUGGAAGCAAUUGUUCAACAAAGAUACUUGCACAAAGAGAAAGAUAAUGAUCCAAAAGGUAAUGCAAGGUUUUAUGAACUCGCUGAGAGGUCGCUAGAUGGGCUAAUUAAUGAUGGAAAGAAAGAGCAUAUAUCAAAGAAAAGAAAGUGGCAUCCAGUUGUUUCUGAGAAGGCAAAGGCAAAGUGCAACGUGAUUCGAUCAUAUUCCUAAUAUGUUCAUGGACGUUUUGCGAAGAUUAUUCACCCAUUGUGUACCCAUUGCCAAGUCUAUUAUCACUCAUGAUUUGCUUCACAUUUCUCACACCAAAUAGUCAAUUGCGGAGAACUCAACAAAAAUCAUCCCAACAAUUACUUAGAAGUCUCCUGCAUCUUGUUCGCCAUCAUGCAACAAUUAGUUGAAGCCCUGAAGCGGGAAAAUCAACAAGCCUGUUGUUGCCUAGGUUAGCGAAACUUGUGCUUGACUUUUCGAGUCGGAAGUAUAGUUUGGACAUGCGGGUGCAAAGAGUGGUGGCGAAAUAGAGUCUGCACAAUCUAAGAAUCAAGCACUUAGAGAUGCUGGAGCUACGGUCUGUGGGGUUCAUCCCCAUGUAGCAAACUUUGAAUAGCUCUCUGUCAAUUUCAAAGUUUGGCAGAUUUGGUGCUGAAUUAUGUUUCAGCUUUACUUAAUUUUCAACUAAAAUCUUACCAAGAAAUCUUCAUAGGUGAAAAGGUUGAAACUUUGUGUUUUUUUGUGAUGUCACUGGUGACAUCAUUAGGAGUAGAUUUUCCUACAAAUACAGAGCUCUUGCUCAUUUCAAAAUGCACCAAAAAGAAUUACAAAGGAGAGAAAAGAAGAGUGAGGCAUCAAAUAGGAAAAUAAUUUGUGAGGAAAAAUAGAGAGUGUGAGCGAUAUUGUAGUGAGGUGGAAAAAUCA